rnacentral:rRNA from 1 species
GGCGGGGGGGGGUGCUAAUACAUGCAAGUCGAACGAGUUCUGAUUAUUGAAAGGUGCUUGCAUCUUGAUUUAAUUUUGAACGAGUGGCGGACGGGUGAGUAACACGUGGGUAACCUGCCCUUAAGUGGGGGAUAACAUUUGGAAACAGAUGCUAAUACCGCAUAAAUCCAAGAACCGCAUGGUUCUUGGCUGAAAGAUGGCGUAAGCUAUCGCUUUUGGAUGGACCCGCGGCGUAUUAGCUAGUUGGUGAGGUAACGGCUCACCAAGGCAAUGAUACGUAGCCGAACUGAGAGGUUGAUCGGCCACAUUGGGACUGAGACACGGCCCAAACUCCUACGGGAGGCAGCAGUAGGGAAUCUUCCACAAUGGACGCAAGUCUGAUGGAGCAACGCCGCGUGAGUGAAGAAGGCUUUCGGGUCGUAAAACUCUGUUGUUGGAGAAGAAUGGUCGGCAGAGUAACUGUUGUCGGCGUGACGGUAUCCAACCAGAAAGCCACGGCUAACUACGUGCCAGCAGCCGCGGUAAUACGUAGGUGGCAAGCGUUAUCCGGAUUUAUUGGGCGUAAAGCGAGCGCAGGCGGUUUUUUAAGUCUGAUGUGAAAGCCCUCGGCUUAACCGAGGAAGUGCAUCGGAAACUGGGAAACUUGAGUGCAGAAGAGGACAGUGGAACUCCAUGUGUAGCGGUGAAAUGCGUAGAUAUAUGGAAGAACACCAGUGGCGAAGGCGGCUGUCUGGUCUGUAACUGACGCUGAGGCUCGAAAGCAUGGGUAGCGAACAGGAUUAGAUACCCUGGUAGUCCAUGCCGUAAACGAUGAAUGCUAGGUGUUGGAGGGUUUCCGCCCUUCAGUGCCGCAGCUAACGCAUUAAGCAUUCCGCCUGGGGAGUACGACCGCAAGGUUGAAACUCAAAGGAAUUGACGGGGGCCCGCACAAGCGGUGGAGCAUGUGGUUUAAUUCGAAGCAACGCGAAGAACCUUACCAGGUCUUGACAUCUUUUGAUCACCUGAGAGAUCAGGUUUCCCCUUCGGGGGCAAAAUGACAGGUGGUGCAUGGUUGUCGUCAGCUCGUGUCGUGAGAUGUUGGGUUAAGUCCCGCAACGAGCGCAACCCUUAUGACUAGUUGCCAGCAUUUAGUUGGGCACUCUAGUAAGACUGCCGGUGACAAACCGGAGGAAGGUGGGGAUGACGUCAAAUCAUCAUGCCCCUUAUGACCUGGGCUACACACGUGCUACAAUGGAUGGUACAACGAGUUGCGAGACCGCGAGGUCAAGCUAAUCUCUUAAAGCCAUUCUCAGUUCGGACUGUAGGCUGCAACUCGCCUACACGAAGUCGGAAUCGCUAGUAAUCGCGGAUCAGCACGCCGCGGUGAAUACGUUCCCGGGCCUUGUACACACCGCCCGUCACACCAUGAGAGUUUGUAACACCCGAAGCCGGUGGCGUAACCCUUUUAGGGAGCGAGCCGUCUAAGGUGGACCAAAAU